UACUUAGAGUUCAAUGAGUAAAAGGGAAC
rnacentral:piRNA from 1 species